rnacentral:pre_miRNA from 1 species
ACAACAUUCGGACCGUCGGUCCACCGAGCAAUAUCACCCGCUCGAUGGAAGAUCUUCCCUUUGUCGU